GAUGAACGCUGGCGGCAUGCCUAACACAUGCAAGUCGGACGGGCAGUGGUGUUUCCUGUGGCGGUCGUGUUAGUAACGCGCAAGAACCUGCCCUUGGGAUGGGCACACCAGCUGGAAACGGCUACUAAUACACCGCAGGCCGAAGAGCAAAAGGAGUAAUCCGCCUGAGGGGUGGUACGUGUAUGAUUAGCUAGCUGUUGGUGCAAUAGCUGACCAAGGCGAUGGACAGUAGUUGGUCCGAGAGGAUGAUCAGCCACACUGGGACGGAGACCCGGCGCAGGCACCUUCGGGAGGCAGGCGAGAGGAAGAUGCAGCAAUGGGGGAUAGGCUAAGAGAGCCAUGCGGCGUGGAGGUAGUGGGACUACGGAUCGUGAACUUCGUUACCCGGAGAGGACGCAAUGACGGUAUCUAGGGAAAAAGCAUCGGCUAACUAUGUG
rnacentral:rRNA from 1 species